CACUGGGAGGGGCUAAACGGGGACUGGGAGGGGCUAAACGGGCACUGGGAGGGACUGGGAGGGGCACUGGGACCAGUCUGCGACAGAAAAGGGAGCAAGGGGUGACAGCAGGUGACACAGGUGCGGUGAAGGUGACCCCCGGGCACAGCCCCCAGGACCUGGCUCUGGCCCGGGCCCACGGGCUGCCCCUGCUCUGCGUCAUCGGGGACGAUGGCACCUUGUGUCCCCCGGGGGGGGGCUGGCUGCAGGGUGUCCCCAGGGUGUCCCCAAGGUGUCCCCAAUGUCCCCAAGGUGUCCCCAGGGUGUCCCCAGGGUGUCCCCAAGGUGUCCCCAAUGUCCCCCCCAAUGUCCCCAGGGUGUCCCCA
rnacentral:lncRNA from 1 species